GUUUUAGGUGGCAUUGACAGUGGUUAAGGAAUCAAGAAGCCUGGAUUUUUGAACAACUCAAACAUUAUGUACCUGGAAAGCAAUGAGCAAAGUUCUUCUGUGGGAGUUCUUAAAACAUCAAACAAUCCUUGUUCUUCUUUGGUUUUAUGAGGCAGUGGAGGCAUAAGAUAGCAAUGAACAGUCUGAAAAAGAGAUUAAGAAAACAAUUCCAUUUACACUUGAAUGAAAAGAAUAUAAUACCUAGAAAUAAAUCUAACCAAGAAGGUGAAAGACUUAUAUGCUGAAAACACAAAACAUUGAUGAAAGAAAUUAAAGAACUACAUAAAUGGAAAAACAUCCCAUAUUCAUUGAAUUGGAGGACUUAAUAACGUUAAGAUGGAGAUACCACUCAAAGCAAUCUACAGAUUCAAUUCAAUCCCUAUCAAAAUACCAAUGGCCCUUUUUGCAGAAAUGGAAAAGCUGAUCAUCAAAUUCAUAUAGAAUUACAUGGGGCCCUAAAUAGCCAAAACAAUGUUGAAAAAGAAGAAUAAAGUUGGAAGACUCCCACUUCCUGAUUUCAAACCUUAGUACAGAGCUACAGUAAUCAAAAUAGUAUGGUAUUGGCAUAAAGAUAGACAUAUAAAUUGGUGGAAUAGAAUUGAAAGUCCAGAAUGAACACAUACAUCUAUAGCUAAUUGAAUUCAACAAGAGUGCUAAGACCAUUUAAUGGGAAAACAAUACUCUUUCAACAAAUGGUCUUGUGACAGCUGGUUAUUCCACAUGCGAAAGAAUGAAGUUGAAUCCCUACCUUACACCAUAUGUUAAACUUAAGACAGUUGGAGAGAGGACUGUACGGAAACUCUUUACUUCCUGUAUGAUUUUCCUUUAAAUGUAAAACUACUCUAAAAAGUAAGUUUAAUAAAAAAAAACCCUCCAUAUAAGACAGCAAUACACAUUACUAGAAUACCUAAAAUGAAACAACAAUAAACUGACAAUAACAAGUGUAGUUGGGGAUGUGGAGCAUCUGAAACUUUCAUGCAUUGCUGCUGGGAACUGAAAAUUGUAUAUCUACUUUAGAAAACAAUUUGGCGGUUUUUGUGAAGUUAAAUAUACACUUACCAUAUGACUCAGAAAUCCCACUUCUGGGGACUUAUUCAAAAGAAAUAAAAACAUAUGUCCAUAAAAAGACUUGUUAUAAAAUGUGCAUAACAGCUUCAUUCAUAAAAACCAAACAUUAGGAACAAAAGUCCAUCAACUGGUGACUGGGCAGGCAAGUUGCAGUAUAAACAUACAAUGGGAAUAUUACUCAGAAAUAAAAAGGAAUUAAUUACUGAUACAUAUAACCUGGGUGAAUCUCUAAAGGUUUUAUUAUAAGUGAAAUAACCAGACACAAACAUUACAUACCAUAUUAUCACAUUGAUUACAUGCUAUACUACAUACCAACAGAUUCCAUUUAUAUGAAAUUUUACAAAAGGCAAAACUGUGUUGACAUAGGCAAAUUAAUUUUCAUCAGGGGCCAGAGAAGAUAUUGAUUAUAAAAGGAAGCAAGAGAACUUUUGAGGGGUAAUGGAAAUAUUCUAAAUCAUGGUGUGGUAGUGGUUACAUAAUUGUAUACA